UACGUAGGGGCUAGCGUUAUCCGGAAUUACUGGGCGUAAAGGGUGCGUAGGUGGUUUCUUAAGUCAGAGGUGAAAGGCUACGGCUCAAUCGUAGUAAGCCUUUGAAACUGGGAAACUUGAGUGCAGGAGAGGAGAGUGGAAUUCCUAGUGUAGCGGUGAAAUGCGUAGAUAUUAGGAGGAACACCAGUUGCGAAGGCGGCUCUCUGGACUGUAACUGACACUGAGGCACGAAAGCGUGGGGAGCAAACAGGAUUAGAUACCCCGGUAGUCCCUGAG
rnacentral:rRNA from 1 species